CCUACGGGGGGCAGCAGUGGGGAAUAUUGGACAAUGGGGGGAACCCUGAUCCAGCGACGCCGCGUGGGUGAAGAAGUAUUUCGGUAUGUAAAGCUCUAUCAGCAGGGAAGAAAAUGCCGGUACCUGACUAAGAAGCCCCGGCUAACUACGUGCCAGCAGCCGCGGUAAUACGUAGGGGGCAAGCGUUAUCCGGAUUUACUGGGGGUAAAGGGAGGGUAGACGGGGCAGCAAGUCUGGUGGGAAAGGUCGGGGCCCAACCCCGGGACUGCAUUGGAAACUGGUUGACUGGAGUACAGGAGAGGCAGGCGGAAUUCCUGGUGUAGCGGUGAAAUGCGUAGAUAUUAGGAGGAACACCGGUGGCGAAGGCGGCCUACUGGACUGUGACUGACGUUGAGGCUCGAAGGCGUGGGGAGCAAACAGGAUUAGAUACCCGGGUAGUC
rnacentral:rRNA from 1 species